GUCUCUCCCUCUGCUUGUGCUCUCUUUCUAAAAUAAAUAAAUAAAUCUUAAAACAAAACAACAAAGAAAUGGAUAUCAAGGAAUCUAUAAAUGGGAGCCUGAGAUAAAAGACAUAUGUUAGGAAUUUCUUAGAGGAACUGAUAAAUAGCAUCCUCCAUCCUGCUCAGGUUUUGAAAAAACUGAGGGACCCAGAGUAUCACAUGGGGCCUCAGUAUUUCUUUAUUAUUGUUAAAGGCUAAGCUAGAAGCCAUAGCUCAUUGUGAGAACCAAAUGGGCCUGCAAAAUAAUUCCAAAAUUUAAUACACUUACCCCUCAUUCAUGUGGGCAUGGGCCAGGUGAUAGUAUGGAGGAAUAGAGGACAGGGCAGGUAGAGGGCAGGUAAGUUUGCUCCCAAGAGACAAAAUGAUAGAGCUGAACCAAGAAUGCCCAGUCUAGUCAUCUCAGAAGACUGUCCACCUCUUGGAGGGUGGAGGGGGGCUAGAAGUUACAUUAAUAGAAGCCCUUUCAUGUAGGAAGGUAACACAGGAAGUCCCUCUAAUGUUAUUGUGAACAGACUUUAAUUGUGCAUCCUGCAACUUUUCAGCCAUCCUGUAUUCAGCUAGAAUUGAUCAUACUUGUCCACCCUGUCCUGAUGGUGGUGGGCAGGAAAUGCUGGUAGAAGAGAAGACAGGAAUUAAACUGGGAUUUCAAAGAUGGGAGGGUUUUAAAUAAGUAGAGCAAGAAUGUUAGUCCAGGCGGGACCAAAUGAUCUGAACCAAGAACUAUUCGUUUCCUAUUUAGGGGACAAACAUGGGAGUUGACAUGCUUGAAGAGAUUUGGGAAAGGCUCCUGCUCCCGACAGAUGUCCUUGCUGUGGUUCCAGCUCGGCUGGGUGGCCCCAGAUUUGGAACUCUAGCCACACUGCCUCCUUCAUGCUGAUGUCUUGAUUGUAUCCUUGUCUUCUGGAUCCCCAGAUCCUCCAACAUUUGCGUAAUCACUUCUGUUGUAUUAAAGUCCCUCUGUGUGAAAUGUC